AACGAACGCUGGCGGCAUGCCUAACACAUGCAAGUCGAACGAGACCUUCGUGUCUUUUUGCGCACGGGUUCUUAACGCGUUGUAACCUUCCCUUAUGUUCGGAAUAACUCCCCGUAUGGGGUUCUAAUACCGGUUAAUGUCUUCUGACCAAAGAUUUAUCGCCUUUGGUUGGGCCCGCGUUGGAUUAGCUAGUUGGUAGGGUAAAAGCCUACCAAGGAGACGAUCCAUAGCUGGUAUGAGAGGAUGAUCAGCCACACUGGGAAUGAGACACGGCAGAGAAUACUACGGGAGGGAGGAGUGGGGAAUAGAGGAAAAUGGGCGAAAGGAUGAUACAGAAAUGACGGGUGAGAGAUGAAGGCAUUAGGGUAGAAAAGAAAUAUUACACGGGAAGAUAAUGACAGUAACGGGAGAAUAAGCACCGGCUAACUCCGUG
rnacentral:rRNA from 1 species